CCUGUGUUGGGUGCAUAAAUAUUUACAAUGGUUAUAUCUUCUUCUUGGAUAGAUCAUUUGAUCAUUAUGUAGUGUCCUUCUUUGUCUCUUGUAAUAGUCUUUAUUUUAAAGUCUGUUUUGUCUGGUAUGAGAAUUGCUACUCCAGCUUUCUUUUGAUUUCCAUUUGCAUGGAAUAUCUUUUUCCAUCCCCUCACUUUCAGUCUGUAUGUGUCCCUAGGUCUGAAGUGGGUCUCUUGUAGACAGCAUAUAUACGGGUCUUGUUUUUGUAUCCAUUCAACCAGUCUGUGUCUUUUGACUGGAGCAUUUAAUCCAUUUACACUUAAGGUAGUUAUCAAUAUGCAUGUUCCUAUUACCAUUUUCUUAAUUGUUUUUAGUUUGUUAUUGUAGGUCUUUUCCUUCUCUUGUGUUUCCUGCCUAGAGAAGUUCCUUUAGCAUUUGUUGUAGAGCUGGUUUGGUGGUGCUGAAUUCUCUUAGGUUUUGCUUGUCUGUAAAGAUUUUAAUUUCUCCGUGGAAUCUAAAAGAGAUCCUUGCUGUGUAGAGUUAUCUUGUUAUGUAGGUUUUUCACUUUCAUCACUUUAAAUAUGUCCUGCCACUCCCUUCUGGCUUGCAGAGUUUCUGCUGACAGAUCAGCUGUUAAUCUCAUGGGGAUUCCCUUGUAUGUUAUUUGUUGCUUUUCCCUUGCUGCUUUUAAUACUUUUUCUUUGUAUUUAAUUUUUCAUAGUUUGAUUAAUAUGUCUUGGCAUGUUUCUCCUUGGAUUUAUUCUGCAUGGGACUUCUUGCGCUUCCUGGACUUGAUUGACUAUUUCCUUUCCCAUACUGGGAAGUUUUCAACUAUAAUCUCUUCAGAUAUUUUCUCAGUCCCUUUCUUUUAGUCUUCUUCUUCUGGGACUGCUAUAAUUCGAAUGUUGGUCCAUUUAAUGUUGUCCCAGAGGUCUCUGAGAUUGUCCUCAAUUCUUUUCAUUCUUUUUUUCUUUAUUCUGCUGUGCAGUAGUUUUUUACACUAUUUUACCUUCCACAUCACGUAUCCAUUCUUCUGCCUUAGUUAUUCUGCUAUUGUUUCCUUCUAGAGAAUUUUUAAUUUCAUUUAUUGUGGUGUUCAUCAUUGUUUUUUUUUGCUCUUUAGUUCUUCUAGGUCCUUGCUAAACAUUUCCUGUAUUUUCUCCAUUCUAUUUCCAAGGUUUUGGAUCAUCUUUACUGUCAUUACUCUGAAUUCCUUUUCAGGUAGACUGCCUAUUUCCUCUUCGUUUGUUUGGUCUGCUGAGUUUUUACCUUGCUCCCUCAUCUGCUGUGUGUUUCUCUGUCUUCUUAUUUUGCUUCACUUACUGUGUUUGGGGUCUCCUUUUCGCAGGUUGCAGGUUCAUAGUUUCUCUUGUUUUUGGUGUCUGCCCCCAGAGGGUAAGGUUGGUUCAGUGGGUUGUGUAGGGUUCCUGGUGGAGGGGACUGGUGCCUGUUUUCUCGUGGAUGAGGCUGUAUCUUGUCUUUCUAAUGGGCAGGACCACAUCUGGUUGUGUGUUUUGCAGUGUCUGUGAACUUAUUAUGAUCUUAGGCAGCCUCUCUGCCAAUGGGUGGGGUUGUGUUCCUGUCUUGCUAGUUGUUUGGCAUAGGGCGUCCAGCACUGUAACUUUCUGGUCGUUGAGUGGAGCUAGGUCUUAGCAUUGAGAUGGACAUCUCUUUGAGAGCUUUCGCCAUUUGAUGUUACCUGGAGCCAGGAAGUCUCUGGUGGGCCAAUGUCUCCCACCUCAGAAGCACAGACCUGACACCCAGCUGGAGCACCAAGACCCAGCUGAUAAUAAAGAAGUACACAGGGAGAGAUCAGGAAGGGUCCCGAGCAGAGGAACUUCUGACUCUGUGAAAUUGGGAUGCACCAUGCUCCCAGCAUGUGGACAUGCUCACCAACUCCAAAGCUCUCCUACUUGGGCUUUUAGACAUUUUGUUCUUGAGAACCAGAUUCCUACCGUUUCUAUUAAAUUCUACUGAUAGGUCUUGUCUACCUGCUAUGUGCUAGGCACUGGUAGGUGAUGAGGAUGCUAACAUGAAUGUGGCAUAACCCUUGUCCUCAAGAGCUUCCAAUGAAAUAAAACAGAUUGUAAUUUGACUUACCAUCAUCUUAUCUGGCCAAGCUUUCCAGAUCCUCCCAUUCCUGCAUUGAACUAACCAUCUUCUCUGCACUAAAUCUGUGCCUUGUAUAUAAUUUUUAUUGCCACACUUAUCAGAAGAGUUUAACUUCUUUGUUUACAGCCCUGUCACCUUUUCUAGACUGUGAGCUCCUUGAGGGCAGGGUUUGUAUCUAAUUUAUCUCUGCCCUCAGUGCCUAGCAUGAUGACUGACACAGGGAAGGAUCUCUUUAUAUUGUUGCAGGAAAGAAUCAGGUUACACUGUGAUGAGCGACAAAUGCAAACUCAUAAUAAAAGUGCUCUGGGGCUGGCCAGCUUUCCCAACACCAUUUGGUGAAGAGACUGUCUUCUCCAUUGUAUAUUCUUGCCUCCUUUUUUGAAGAUUAAUUGAUCAUAGGUUUGUGGAUUUAUUCCUGGGCUCUCUAUUCUGUUCCAUUGAUCUGCAUGUCUGUUUUUGUGCCAAUACCAUGCUGUUCUGAUUACUGUAGCUUUGUAGUGUUGUCUGAAGUCUGAGAGGGUUAUGCCUCCAGCUUUGUUUUCCUCAGGAUUGCUUUUGCAAUCUGGGUCUUUUGUGGUUCCAUAUAAGUUUUAGGAUUAUUUGUUCCAGUUCCGUGAAAAAUGUAAUGGGUAAUUUGAUAGGGAUCACAUUAAAUCUGUAGAUUCUUAAGGUAGUAUGGCCAUUUUAACAAUAUUAAUCUUCCAAUCCAAGAGCAUGGGAUAUCUCUCCAUUUCUUUGAAUCAUCGUCGGUUUCCAUUAUCGAUGUUUUAUAGUUCUCAGCGUAUAGGUCUUUCAGCUCCUUGGUUAGGUUUAUUCCUAGGAAUUUUAUUUUUUGACCUGAAUUUUAAAUGGGAUUGUUUUACUUUUUCUUUCUCAUAUUAACUGUUAGUGUAAAGAAAUGCAACAGAUUUCUGUAUAUUAAUCUUGUAUCCUGCUACCUUGCUAAAUUCAUUUAUUAAUUCUAAUAGUUUUUGUGUGUGGUGUUUAAGGUUUUCUGUAUAGAGUAUCAUGUCAUCUGCAUAUAACGACAGUUUUACCUCUUCCUUUCCAAUUUGGACACCUUUUAUUUCCUUUUUUAGAACACUCCCUCACACUGUAUACAAAAAUAAACUCAAAAUGGUUUAAAGACCUAAAUAUAAGACAUGACACCAUAAAACUCCUAGAAGAGAACAUAAGCAAACCAUUCUCUGACAUAAAUUAUAGCAAUAUUUUCUUAGAUCAGUCUCCCAAGGCAAAAGAAUUAAAAGCAAAAAUAAACAGGCGGGACCUAAUCAAACUUAAUAGCUUUUGCACAGCAAAGGAAAUCAUCAACAAAAUGAAAAAACCUAUGGAAUGGAAGAAAAUAUUUGCAAACAAUGUGACUAACAAGGGGUUAAUAGCCAAAACAUACGAACAGCUCAUAGAACUCAAUAUCGGAAGAACAAACAACCCAAUCAAAAAAUGGGCAGAGGGGCUUCCCUGGUGGCACAGUAGUUGACAGUCCACCUGCCGAUGCAGGGGACACAGGUUCGUGUCCCGGUCCGGGAAGAUUCCACAUGCCACGGAGUGGCUGGGCCUGUGAGCCAUGGCUGCUGAGCCUGCGUGUCUGGAGCCUGUGCUCCGCAACGGGAAAGGCCACAACAGUGAGAGGCCCACGUAUCGCAAAAAAAAAAAAAAAAAAAAAAAAUGGGCAGAAGACCUAAGUAGAUAUUUCUCCAAAGAAGACAUAGAGAUGGUCAAUAGGCACAUGAAAAGAUGCUCAACAUCGCUAAUUAUUAGAGAAAUACAAAUCAAAACAACAAUGAGGUAUCACCUCACAUGGGUCAGAAUGGCCAUCAUCAAAAUGUCUACAAAUAAUAAAUGCUGGAGUGUAUGGGGAAAAGGGAACCCUCCUGCACUGUUGGUGGGAAUGUAAAUUGGUGCAGCCACUAUGGAGAACAGUAUGGAGGUUCUUUACAAAACUAAAAAUAGAGUUACUAUAUAAUCCAGUAAUCCCACUUCUGGGCAUAUAUCCAGAAAAGAUGAAAACUCUAAUUCGAAAAGAUACAUGCACCCCAAUGUUCAUAGCAGCACUAUUUACAAUAGCCAAGACAUGGAAAUAACCCAAGUGCCCAUCAACAGACGAUUGGUUUAAGAAGAUAUGGCAUACACACACACACACACACACACACACACACACACACACACACACACACACACACACACACACACACACACACACACACACACACACAGUGGAAUAUUACCCAGCCAUAACAAAGAAUGAAAUGUCAUUUGCAGCAACAUGAAUGGACAUAGAGGUUAUCAUACUAAGUGAAGUAAAUCAAACGAGAAAAGACAAAUAUUAUACUACUUAUAUGUGGAAUCUAAAAAUAAUACAAAUGAAUUUAUUUACAAAACAGAAACAGACUCACAGACUUCAAAAACAAACUUAUGGUUACCAAAGGGGAAAUGGAGGGGGGAAGAGGGAUAACUUAGGAGUAUGGAAUUAACAGAUAGACACUACUAUAUAUAAAAUUGAUAACAAGGAUUUUCUGUAUAACACAAAGAAUUAUAUUCAACAUCUUGUGAUAACCAAUAAUGGAAAAAUCUGAAAUAUAUAUGUAAAACUGAAUCAUUUUGCUGUACACCUGAAACUAACACAAUAUUGUAAAUCAAAUAUACUUCAGAUUUUUGUUUUUCUUUUAAAGUGCUAUGGGAUCAAAGAGGAGGGAAGAAUUAAUUUGGUGAGAGAGAUCAUGGAAAGCUUCAGAAAAGAAGUGACACAAGCUAUGAAAUGAAAUAUAAGACAGGUUUGCCCAGAUGAAGUAAAAGAAGUCAGUCUGGGCAGAAGGAAUAAGGGGAUUGGAAGAAAGGUAUGAAAAAAUGCUUUUAUUUUGAGAACAAAUAUUCCAAAUGGAAAGAGCAUGGAAUUCAUAAAAGUAAAAUGUCCCACUAUUAUGAGUCAAAGUGGUGCAAUUUGUUUGGAUUUUACUGGAUUUUGGCUUAUUGUCCUCUAUUUGUAGCUCAUAUUCUCAUCACUGGCACAUGGUGUCAUUCACUCUGCUUCUUUAUACUCCCUACCCACCCUUCCCUCUCCCUACCUGUCUUCCCUCUUAACGUUGACCUCUUUUGUCUUUACUCAGCUGGAGUCAUAGCACUGGCCUGUGUUCCCAUGAUCACCUUCAAAUUAAUCUUUAUGCCAUAAUCUCUUUGCUAGUUCAAGUGACCACAGGCCAGCUGAAAUUUGGAAUUCCACAGAUGAAUGGCUGAGAGAAGAUAGCUUCAUCAGGCACACACAUUUAGCUCGCUUUUCCUGUAUUUCAUGGCUGAUUUCUCAAGACUUCACUGGCCCAGUGGCUCCACACAGGCGUUAUCCUGUCUUUGUCCUACAAAGGCUAAUCUGCUUUCAGGGUCUAUGGGCUCCAGGGGCCUGAGACCAGUCACCAAGAUGUCUCAGCCCUGGGAUAUCAGAUUCCCUAGGAUAACGCAGGUACACAUUUUCCUGGAAUAUUUCAGCAUUAGGCUUCCUGAAAUUUGGCAGCAGUGAGUGUAGUUUUUAGAGGAGAAGGUAAAAGGAGGCCUCCAAAUCUUUCUUCAAACUCCUUCCAUUGAUUACAAAGGAAAGAAGGUAAACCAAGAAGAGCCAAGCAGCAGUAGUAUUUCUAAUUAACUGCCCCUGAGAAUUUGAGGUUUCCUAAGAAACGACCAAAAGAAUGCUAACUUGGAAUGAUGGUUACUGGAUGUCCAAUCCAAAAGGCUCACUCCAUCUCAGCGUCUGCUUCCAGGAGAAUUCAAACAGCCGCUCCAGUUGAAGGACAGCCUCAUUAUGACCAGGUAC